GUUAGAGCUCUGCUCUGUUAGAGGCCUGCUGGGAAAUAUUCUGCUGAAGUCUCUCGCAAGACUGACGUGGUGGUUAUAUUGCCAUGGCUGUAGACUGAGCUCUAGAUUCCUGAUGAAGUCUUCAGUAUUUACCGCUUUGCCUUUUCGCUCUGCCAUUAUUUAUGUUACACUCCUAUAUGUCUCUGUGCUUUCAUGAGAGAGCCAUCCGGUCUGCAGUGUUUUGUCUAUGAGCUCAUCCCAACUGAGUUUGAAGAGUUCAGAGGAGCAGACUGAGGAAGACAGAAGUGAUGCCGUAAACAUCGAUGCCAAAGAGAGCUUGGAGGACAAGAGACGGUAUAAUCUAGCCUGUCCUCCUGUAGUGACUUACGGCAGGUACCGUGGAUUGAGGGAAGCCCGGAAACCAAAGAAGAAGCAUCGUGUCGAGCUUCAUUCGCCCAUCUCUGAGGGAGAAGAGACUACGCAACCCAACGGCCAUGAGGACAGUGAGAUCUCCUCCUGCGCUGUGAACACCAUGAGCUCUGAUGGUCAUGAAAACCCCACUGCCGUAAAUCAAGCAUCUCCUUCACAGCAGAUAGAAGAAGUGUCAGCUCAAGCAGACGAGGUUCUCGCUGUUGAAUCUGAACUCCUGUGUCUGAGCAGCUCUCAGAGAGAGACUGAGCUUGUGUGUGUGUAUAAAUCAGUGCUGUAGCUCAUGUCUAAUAGAUGAAGUCAUUGUGUCUGCAUGUUUCUGAGCACUGAAAGCUUAUGCAAUGUGGUUUUGCUAAUGCAUGUCCACGAACUCGCCUACGUUCUCUGUUAUUCAGCAGCACUCAAACACGCGUGGAAAUCACAUGGGGGAUGUUUUUCACUUUGUUUUUCGUAAACUUGAAAUUGUACUGGUGCACAGUGCACAGACGGCUGAUUUGAUCCAGAGAUUAUGAAGAAAACAACAGCGUCACGUACAUGCUGAGAUGUUUUUAAGGUUUAUGUAUGAGCCUUUGACAAAAAUUGUACAUGAAAUAUUUGUUUGUGUAAGUUGAUGAGUUCUGCGAUGUUCCUGUCCUGUGUUUCUGAAUGCUUUUUGUUCAAUCACUUCCUUUUCUUUGUUCUCUGAGACUCUUUUGGUCUCCACAGCAAUGUCCUUGAGAUUCUGUGUGUGUGAGAGACGUUGUGUUGCUUGUUAAGAUGCUGAUGGGUGUUUGAACACUGUGUGUUCAGUCGGUUGCUGUAUGUUGAUCCGUUUCACCGUGGCUCGUGUGUUCUUCUGGAGGAGGGUCAGACUCUAAAGACCAGCGGAGGAUCUCCACAGGACCUGAAGGAGACCAGUCUGUCUGUGCGCUCUGUCCGGACGCUGCUCAAGGUAUCAGGAGCCGUCUGUCUCUGUGUUUUGG
rnacentral:lncRNA from 1 species